UCCUACGGGGGGCAGCAGUGGGGAAUAUUGCACAAUGGGGGAAACCCUGAUGCAGCGACGCCGCGUGAGCGAAGAAGUAUUUCGGUAUGUAAAGCUCUAUCAGCAGGGAAGAAAAUGACGGUACCUGACUAAGAAGCCCCGGCUAAAUACGUGCCAGCAGCCGCGGUAAUACGUAUGGGGCAAGCGUUAUCCGGAUUUACUGGGUUUAAAGGGUGCGUAGGCGGUCCGUUAAGUCAGCGGUAAAAUUGCGGGGCUCAACCCCGUCGAGCCGUUGAAACUGGCAGACUUGAGUUGGCGAGAAGUAG
rnacentral:rRNA from 1 species